AUUGAACGCUGGCGGCAUGCUUUACACAUGCAAGUCGAGCGGCAGCGCGGGCUUCGGCCUGGCGGCGAGUGGCGAACGGGUGAGUAAUGCAUCGGAACGUGCCCAGUAGUGGGGGAUAGCCCGGCGAAAGCCGGAUUAAUACCGCAUACGACCUGAGGGUGAAAGCGGGGGACCGAAAGGCCUCGCGCCAUUGGAGCGGCCGAUGUCGGAUUAGCUAGUUGGUGGGGUAAAGGCUUACCAAGGCGACGAUCCGUAGCUGGUCUGAGAGGACGACCAGCCACACUGGGACUGAGACACGGCCCAGACUCCUACGGGAGGCAGCAGUGGGGAAUUUUGGACAAUGGGGGCAACCCUGAUCCAGCCAUGCCGCGUGCGGGAAGAAGGCCUUCGGGUUGUAAACCGCUUUUGUUCGGGAAGAAAUCCUCUGGGCUAAUACCCCGGGGGGAUGACGGUACCGGAAGAAUAAGCACCGGCUAACUACGUG
rnacentral:rRNA from 1 species